AGGGAAGGGAAGGCGUUACCGAGUGCGGCCACCCCCGGAAGAGGCCAGAGCGGCAACGGGAUGGGAGAGGAGGGAAACCGAGGCCCAAAGUGGUGGAGUCACCUGUCAGCCAGCUGGAGAGUGGCGAUUUUAGCCCUGGCAGGCUGACUCUGGAAGGCACGUCUCCAAACCUCUCCACAGCUAACCCUGUGCCUAUAAAUAUCGGAAGGGCCUUCUCAAUCAACAGAUGAUGACAAAAUCAGCUGGUUAUUUUUGUCGUGGGGAUACAGGAAUGGCUCUUCCAGGUGGGGACACUGGUAUGAAUCCUACCACUGACUGGGAGUCUCACUACACAGACACUUGUCAGCACCUCAGAUCCAACAGAAGGAUCCUCACCCCGACACCAUCCCAAGCCCAUGAUGAAAAAGAAUCCACAGGCUGGACCAUCAUGUGACAACUCCCGCCAACGAUCUUCAGCUGAAUGUUCCAGCUCCUUCACUGCCCGUUCUCGGUGCACCAGUCCUGCCCCAAGCCCUGACCCAGCUGGAGAGUCUAGAGCACGGACACGCCAGCGAGCACCACUGCUACUUGGUGGGCCCCACCCAAGAUGCUGGGCAAGCAGGAGCCAGUGCCAACCUCAGUGUUCUCAUCUGAAAAAUGGGGGUUAUGAAAUCACCUCCCUCCUGGGGUUGUAUGAAGUGGCUCACACAGUGGGACACAGGAAGGGUUUCCCAUGGCAGGUCCCUGGCCCCUGAGAGUCCACGGCGCCCUUUCUCCUGUUGCUCAGCCCAGUCCCCUCCCUGACCUGUCCCCACUCAGGUGGAGAAAUGCCACGGUCUCCAGAUCGUCCCUUCAGACACCUUCUUGCCCUGUUCGUCCCCAGCCUGACCCACCAGCCUCGGCCGCUGCUCUGUCCACAGCACCCGGCCCUGGCUGCUCGGGAAAGACAGUAACUGUGUGAAUGAAUAAAUGCAAGUUUUGUGUCUUCCUUCUAGAAAUCUCUUUCCAGCAAAUGUUUCUAAUGUUUUGGCAUGAAAUUCAAAGUUGAGUUAUUGAAUUAACAGUAGGGAGUUGCCAAAGAUACUAGAUACAUACAUGCUAUUUGUCUUCCAGAAAGCAGUGACAUGUGGAGUACGUGGAGGGGCCAGGAUAGCAGCCACGUGCCUGGGCUCUUCAGCCGCUUCCCCACGGAGCGCACAGAAGGGCGCCCGUCACCCGCGAUUCCCUGGCACUCAACUAAGGGCUGGACGUAGGACGGUGGAAAGAACGGUGCCGCUGGCUUCAUGGAGUUUCGAGUCUAGUCCAGUACAUCCUAGGCUUAAUGCUUGGCCCCAGCCACUUCCAUCUAAAAUGAUUCGAUCUACAUUCUGUAUUAUCAUCUGAUGAAUAAAGGGGUGAUGGCUUUGUUCUCUUGAUAA